GUCUGGUGCCAGCAGCCGCGGUAAUUCCAGCUCCAAUAGCGUAUAUUAAACUUGUUGCAGUUAAAAAGCUCGUAGUUGAAUUUUUGCGUCACCGUGUAUCGACAUUUGUCGUUUAUCGGUUUCGCUUUUGGGAUUUAUCCCUUUUUACUUUGAGAAAAUUAGAGUGUUUCAAGCAGACUUUUGUCUUGAAUACUUCAGCAUGGAAUAAUAGAGUAGGACUUUGGUUCUAUUUUGUUGGUUUGUGAACCUUAGUAAUGGUUAAUAGGAACGGUUGGGGGCAUUCGUAUUUAACUGUCAGAGGUGAAAUUCUUAGAUUUGUUAAAGACGAACUACUGCGAAAGCAUUUGCCAAGGACGUUUUCAUUAAUCAAGAACGAAAGUUAGGGGAUCGAAGACGAUCAGAUACCGUCGUAGUCCUAACCAUAAACUAA
rnacentral:rRNA from 1 species